CAGCUAAAUGAACAAGCAUAAAAACUGCCGAUCGACACCAUGAAGGAGUGAAGGAGUUGCUAAAAUUACAACUUUAGUUUCUAAUCUUCAAGAUUGUGAAAUAAUCUGCUAGAGAUACGGGUUUGAGAAUAUUAGAUAAAAUGUACCACUUACCCAGUAGUAUAAAGCACCUCGAUUUUGGGACUGUUUUAGUCAAAGCUUGGUCGCAAUGCAUUUCGUUCUUAGAAGUAUAAUUUUUACGCUUUUGGUUGCGGCAGUAAUGGCCGCUUGUCGAGAGGAUGUUUGGAAUUGUGCGUGUAUAGCUCCUGAUCGAUGCAGUGGAGAACUUUGUGGCAAUUGUGGGCGCGAUGGAGGCAGGAAGAGGUGUUGUUAAUGCCAACUCCGCACAGAAAUAACUAUUAUAAGUAAAUAGUUUCCAAUAAAAGUAUGAAAUCGA